ACCUUUCUCUUCGCUCGGCGAUUUCUCCUCUUAGCCCUAGCAUCUCCGCCGACGCCGCCCUUCUCUUCUCCUCCGUCCCUGCCCAAGCGCGGCGAGCGCGAGCCACUGCCGGUCGAGCCACCCUCUUGAUCCUUUCCUCCUCUGGCGCUGCCCUCUUGUGCGACACCAAGCCACUGCAGCCUGCGCCCUAGCCGCCGGCGACGCACGGAGCAGCACCGCAUUCCCCGGUGCCUAGCGCCGACAGCCGGCUGCCUUUCCUGUGCCGACCCUUCAUCUCUUCCUGCGUCGCUAUCUGAGUGCUGUCGCCAGUCACUUGAGUAGCGCCGGCCACCCCCGAUCGCCGGCACCCGAGUACCACUGCUUGUGUUCUCCCGUAUCCUGGCACUGAAGCCGACCACCCAGUGCCGAGGCCCUUUUCCUCUUUGAAGCUCUGUGCCGACGCCGACCCACCUUCACCGGCCACCAGGAUUUUGUGCUGUGGAGUACCUGAUUUCCCAGCGCUAAUCCUCUCCGGCAGUAAAUUGCCUUGGUUGUGAUUGAAGGUUAUUUCUUGGGUUCCAACAACUACCUAUGUUCCGGCAGCAACAUUACCGGUUGAGGCUUCAGAAUUAAGACCUUGACGCGUGACGAGUAUCUCGACGUCGGAUUUGGACUGAUUGGACUUUUCCUAUU